AGGACCCAAUUCUCAUUGGUCAUGUGUCGGGAUCCAAUUAUCAUUGGGUCCUGUGUCAGGACCCAAUUCUCUUGGGUCCUGUGUCAGGACCUAAGGCUAAGGGGCCAU
rfam:Populus trichocarpa scaffold_8_contig_27, whole genome shotgun sequence.